rnacentral:rRNA from 1 species
AUUGAACGCUGGCGGCAGGCCUAACACAUGCAAGUCGAGCGGAUGAAGGGAGCUUGCUCCUGGAUUCAGUCGCGGACGGGUGAGUAAUGCCUAGGAAUCUGCCUGGUAGUGGGGGAUAACGUCCGGAAACGGGCGCUAAUACCGCAUACGUCCUGAGGGAGAAAGCGGGGGAUCUUCGGACCUCACGCUAUCAGAUGAGCCUAGGUCGGAUUAGCUAGUUGGUGGGGUAAAGGCCUACCAAGGCGACGAUCCGUAACUGGUCUGAGAGGAUGAUCAGUCACACUGGAACUGAGACACGGUCCAGACUCCUACGGGAGGCAGCAGUGGGGAAUAUUGGACAAUGGGCGAAAGCCUGAUCCAGCCAUGCCGCGUGUGUGAAGAAGGUCUUCGGAUUGUAAAGCACUUUAAGUUGGGAGGAAGGGCAGUAAGUUAAUACCUUGCUGUUUUGACGUUACCAACAGAAUAAGCACCGGCUAACUUCGUG